rnacentral:rRNA from 1 species
UGAGGAAUAUUGGUCAAUGGACGAGAGUCUGAACCAGCCAAGUAGCGUGAAGGAUGACUGCCCUAUGGGUUGUAAACUUCUUUUAUACGGGAAUAAAGUGAGGCACGUGUGCCUUUUUGUAUGUACCGUAUGAAUAAGGAUCGGCUAACUCCGUGCCAGCAGCCGCGGUAAUACGGAGGAUCCGAGCGUUAUCCGGAUUUAUUGGGUUUAAAGGGAGCGUAGGCGGACGCUUAAGUCAGUUGUGAAAGUUUGCGGCUCAACCGUAAAAUUGCAGUUGAUACUGGCGACCUUGAGUGCAACAGAGGUAGGCGGAAUUCGUGGUGUAGCGGUGAAAUGUUUAGAUAUCACGAAGAACUCCGAUUGCGAAGGCAGCUUACUGGAUUGUAACUGACGCUGAUGCUCGAAAGUGUGGGUAUCAAACAGGAUUAGAUACCCUGGUAGUCCACACAGUAAACGAUGAAUACUCGCUGUUGGCGAUAUACGGUCAGCGGCCAAGCGAAAGCAUUAAGUAUUCCACCUGGGGAGUACGCCGGCAACGGUGAAACUCAAAGGAAUUGACGGGGGCCCGCACAAGCGGAGGAACAUGUGGUUUAAUUCGAUGAUACGCGAGGAACCUUACCCGGGCUUAAAUUGCAACUGACUGAACCGGAAACGGUUCUUUCUUCGGACAGUUGUGAAGGUGCUGCAUGGUUGUCGUCAGCUCGUGCCGUGAGGUGUCGGCUUAAGUGCCAUAACGAGCGCAACCCUUAUCGAUAGUUACUAGCAGGUCAUGCUGAGGACUCUAUUGAGACUGCCGUCGUAAGAUGUGAGGAAGGUGGGGAUGACGUCAAAUCAGCACGGCCCUUACGUCCGGGGCUACACACGUGUUACAAUGGGGGGUACAGAAGGCAGCUACACGGCGACGUGGUGCUAAUCCCGAAAGCCUCUCUCAGUUCGGAUUGGAGUCUGCAACCCGACUCCAUGAAGCUGGAUUCGCUAGUAAUCGCGCAUCAGCCACGGCGCGGUGAAUACGUUCCC